GUAAUAAUCAAACUCAUAACUUCAUUAAUGGAAAACAUCUCAGUUUACAAGUACAAGAAAGAUAAAGAAAAGCUUAGCCAAGUAAUGGUGAAGCCCUCUAAAAAUCUGCUAUGUCUUAUACUAGAUUAUUACAAGAUGAAGCCUCCAAGUGUUCCUGCAAAAUUUACUAGCUAGAGAGAGUUUGCUAUCAGAAAAUCAUCUACAUAUAUCCUCCUCUGACCUCCCCAAUGUCUCUGUAUAAAAGCUGGUCCAAAAACUCCUUUUUCCUGGUCAAAUAUUCCCCCCUUUGAUUCCCAAAUUUGAAGCUUGUUUAGAUAGUCAAUAACCAAUGUUUUUGACUUGAAAAUAAGCCACCUUUCUUGCCCUUUUUGUCUUCUGAAGCAUGUGCACCGACUUCCUUUGCAACUUAUAGCUGGAAAUUAGUAUGAGCACAAGAGAAAUGGCUGAGCAAAUUGCAGAUUUUCAGCUACAAAAUGCGACUACACAAAACGCGGCAUCAACCCACGUUUUGUCAACUCGUGUUUUCAACUAUGUGAAAUUGGCCUCGCUUCAACUGUGAUUUUCUCUAUGAUAGAGGCCGAGCUAGCUUUUGUACAAAACACAAAAUUGUAGGCCUUUGAGUUAGCUUCACAAUGCUUCAGGAAUCAUCCAAAUCAGAGUGUUGUAGACUGAGAUAUGAUCAAAAUACGGUCACCUAGUCAAACCCCUGUUUCAAUUUUCGUCCAUAGAGUGCAGCUUCUGUAUUUCGACUUUUUGUUCAUGAAAACAACCGAAUUGGAUUCCUAUGUCUUCAUACGAAAUCUAGAUCUCUUUCUUAGCUUUAAAAUGGUAUAAAUAUCACCUCAAUCCAAUAUGUGUAGCUCCAGAUAUAGCCAAAAUACGAAAAUGUGUCAGAGUUGUUUUCAUUUGCAUUUCUUCAAUUUACUUCAUUUCUUCUUUACCAGUUAAAUUCAUCACCAAUUAUCCACUUUUCACCUCAGUUGACAUCCUUUGGUGAUUGAAUCAUUAAUCCUGCAUGAAAAUGAAUUUUUUACCAUUAAGAUUAAUAGAAAUGCAAUGUUGGCCACUUUAACUUUAAAAUGUAUAUUUUUACCAAAACCCUAACUAUUUUAGUUAUAAACUUGAUUAAAUUACUGAAAUUUUACUAAUAAAUACACUUAAAAACAUGUAAAAUAUACUCUCAUCAAUGUUGCUCGCAUUAGAGCCACUUCAAUGUCAUUGAGCAUUCAUUUCAGUAUCAAGAGACACUCAUUUCACUGUCAUUGUACAUUCAUUUCAAUAUCAUUGUACAUUCUGCCAAUUCACCUCCUUAUGUCUUUCAAAACAGUAAACAAUUCCCUACAUUCAAUAAUCAGUUCAAUAAUCUCCCAACCUCAUGGUAAUACUCGAGUAUACUGAAAAAGUUACCCAAAUCUUUUGUCUUAUCUGACCAAGCUCUUUGCUAGCUCGAAUAGUCCGUUGAACAAAGGAUUUUGGGAUCCAGUUCAGCCGAUGUAGUAAAGUACACAUACAGCUUAUAUUCAUGCACAUUUACAGUAAUAUUUAGUCAAUUAUCAACCUUAAUGCUUAACUAAGCUGAGUGCGAUAAAAUACACUUUCGACUUAGAAGGCGAGGGACAAUUAAGAUACACUUUAUAAUGAAUCAUUUAGUAAUAAUUCAUGAUAAGUACAUUUGUCACAUAAUUUCACUUAGAUACACAUAAACAGUUAAACACAUAAAUUCGAAAAACACUCACCAAUUAUUCAAAUAAUUUACUCUUGAGCCUCGGAUUUGUUUCCUGGCUCGCGGCUAUUUCCUGAGAUAAAUAUAUAAUUCCAUGGUAAAUUUACAAUUUGUAGAUGUUCACCUAUUAUUUAAAUUAUUCGAAUUAGGUUUGACUUUAAAAUAUAAAAUAUAACAUAUUCAAUAUUUAUUCUACCUUAUUGUUUAAACUAUUAAAAUCAAGUUUGAUCUUAAAAUACAAAAUAUACGCAAUAUUUAUUCCCCAAUUUAUUUCAAGACUUAUUGACUUUAUUAUCUUAAAUCAAGAAAUAUACAUACUCUCCAAAUUAAUAAUUUAAAAAAUGUUUACAUUAGGAUUAAAUUAUUUUCUACUCAAGAUUCUAAGUUUAAAGCUUAGGAAUAUUCCAUUGGUUCCCUUUUUUAAAUUAGUUAAACUCUAAGUUAUUUGUAAAUUAAAUUUUAUUCCACUACACUCGUCCCUCAAAUUUAUAGAUUUUAACAUAUGUGUAAAGACAAUAUUAAGUGAUUAGAAGCCAAUUUAGGUAUAUAACUAUCAUGAGUUUUCCUCUCAUUUGCUUUAAUUUAACUCUACUCGUGGAACUAGAUAUAGUCGUUAAAUCUCAGACCAACCGUAGCUACCAUUUAUGAAAGCUUACAAGGUUGGAAAUUAGAAGAAAUGCUGGUUAAAAGUUGGUUUCUCACGGCCAGCAUCUUAGCAAAGUACAUUCGGGAACAAAAGGAAAGGCAACGAGAAAGGCAGCUUUGCCAUCUUCUGGUAUUCUGAUCAUAACUGGAGCUAUGGUUAUCGGAUUGAGGUGAAUUUUAUAGCGUUUCGAAGCUAAGACAUAGAACUACAUUUCUUAUGGAGACAUCGACACUCAGUUCUCAGUUCUCGCAUUUUCAAGGUAAAAACUGUACGGUCAGAAGCACCUUCUGUUUCACUCUCUCGGCUGAAGCUAAAAGAAUUUCAGCAUGGCUUAGCAGCUGCAUUUUUCCCUUUUCAUUCCUCCUCAGUUUUCUGUUCUAGAUUAUGUAAAAAGCAUAUUGAUUCAUCUUCAAGUUAACUUAAGCAAAACGGGGAAGUUUAUGCUCAAAACUCAAAAGGAUAGCUGACUAAAAUUCAGCUCUGCGCAAGGCUGCAAAACUGAUGUACCGCAGCUUGCCUCAGAGUUCUUUCACGUAUGGUUCUCUCCAUUUCACACUCAUUAACCUACGACUGACCCCUUAAACUGAAGAAGGAAACAAAUAAUCUGUUGCAUGCAUCCCAUAACGUUAUUAACCCAAGAAAUUUUGACAUCAGUUGCAAGUUCCAGCUCAACACUCAGUUUCUGCAAUUUUUCUGAGAUUUCACAGUUAUUGCCCGGCAUUUACUUCAGCUACAAGCUCUUCUCACUCUAGUUAUCAACCCUGCUCUAAGUUCUCAGGUAAGACAAGAAAAGAGCAUAUAGUUUGAGGUUCUAGCGGAAUAUUUCUCCCUACUUUCGGUUAACAAGCUGCAUGAUCAGUUUUUUUUUCCUCGGAUGGAGCUGAAAGGUAACCACUCCCUAAACAAGUUUUCCCUUCAAUCAAACUGAAUUUUUCUUAGCUACAUUCCAGCAUUCCACAGUAAUAUCCAAGUGUACUAGUUGUUUAGAAGGUUAUUGCUGUCACGUACCUCGUUCCUUCCUCCUAACGUUUGAAAAAAAAUGCAGAUCGCACGUUUGGUUUCCUGCUCCUAGCUUCGUCCCUCUAACUAUUGCACCAGCUCUCCCUUUUUUUCUCACGUUUGGCUCGCGGUGUUGAGGCUACCAGCUGAAGAAAUGAAGCGAGCCAGUGCCUCUCUCUCACUCUCACUGUCUCGGUUGCAGACUGGAGGCAAAGAGAAACCAGAAAUGUUUUCUUUUCCUCUCACUCGAUUAUGUAUGAGCUGAAUGGGUGUCCAAAUCACUCUCUCAGCUUUGCUCCUAGUGCGUGGUUGGUAAGAAAAGAAAAGAAAUGUUUUUUCU
rnacentral:lncRNA from 1 species